UACGGGGGGGAGCAAGCGUUGUUCGGAUUUACUGGGCGUAAAGGGCGCGUAGGCGGCCAGCACAAGUCAGUUGUGAAAUCUCCGAGCUUAACUCGGAAAGGUCAACUGAUACUGUGCGGCUAGAGUGCGGAAGGGGCAACUGGAAUUCUUGGUGUAGCGGUGAAAUGCGUAGAUAUCAAGAGGAACACCUGCGGCGAAGGCGGGUUGCUGGGCCGACACUGACGCUGAGGAGCGAAAGCGUGGGGAGCGAACAGG
rnacentral:rRNA from 1 species